UAACACUCUGCUGGUGUCUUGAAAUUCUUAAUAGUCUUUGAAUGAGAGGCCCACACUUUCAUUUUGUGAGCCUCUCAAAUUAUGUAGCCAAUGCUGCUAAAAUAAAACCCAUCUGUAACAAUAAACUAUCUUGAUUGUCCAUUUCCUAGAAAUUUCUUAUUAAUACCUAUAAAAGAUCACAAGGUCUUCAAAAUAAUGUAGUACUACUCCUGAUAAUUUCUUAAUGCUAUUUUCUUUAACAGUCAUAAAAUCAUACCAAAGAAGGAGUUUCCCAGUGGCUAAGUCACUUCCUUUAGAGGCUACACAAACUUUUUCAAUCCACUCAAGCACUAUUUAGUUAAGAAAACAGUCUCAACCCUCUAAUUAUCAUUGAAAAGGACUGUUUGCUGAAAAUAAAAUUUAAAGCAGAAAUGAUUGGAAUAGUAGCUUUGGAUUUCCUUUCCUCUAAGUUCAUACCCCUGAGGGCCUACAGGGCAAAAAUGUGGAACUAGAACAAAUGGAAACUCACACAUGUUUAUUUGUGAGAACAUCCAUUAAGAGCAAACAGAAGGCCUUAAAGUAGCACAAAUAAGGAUAAUUCUAGAACAAGUUACACUAAUAGUAAAUAAUUAAUACAAGAUACACUUGCUCUUCAAUAGACAUAUUCAUAACAGUUCCUAAAAGUUGUGUAAUUCAUUAUCUACCUCCUCUCCAAGACCAAGGAAUUCUAUUUUAACAUACCAGGGACAUUGCUACUUCAGAGAUUCUUCAGUGAUUCACUUUACAAUCUAAACACAUAAAGAAUACAAAUGAUCAUUCUGUAGUAAAUCAUUCGCUUGAGUUCAUUUUGGUAUGUGGCAGUUUGAAAAAUAUGGCGAUACCCAGCCAUCAAAGCCCUACAGACAACACAAAGACUCUGCUAAGUCCCCUGUAAACUUCCAGUGCCUAGUAUAUCUCCCACCUUGCCACUGAAAGCUACUUGAUUCUGACUGAUCAAAAAUUACAGGACUGCAAAGCUUGGAAUAUAAGCCUCUCAUUUUCACAUGUACAAUAAUCUGUUAUGACUAAAUUUAAAUAAUUAAAAACUAUUUUAAGCAUUAGCAACGUGGAGUAGUAUAGCAGAAAGGGCAGUGGGCUGAGGCAGGUCUACGCCCAGCUCUCCUAUUUAGCACUAAAAUAGCUUUAUGACCUUGAGCCAGUGCUGUCCCGGUCUAAGGUGUCACACCUGUAAAAACAGAAGAUGAGUCCAGUCAUUGGCCUCUAGGGUUUUAAACUUUAGUGUGCAGCAGAAUCAACUACAGAGCUUGUCAAAAAACAGAUUGCUGUCCCCUUACUCCUACCCCAUUUCUCAUUCAGUAGAGCUGGGGUAAGGCCAGACAAUUUGCAUUUCUAACAAAUCCAGGUGAAAGCUGCUGAUGAAGCUGCUGAUCCAGGGACCACACUUUGGGAACCACUGCCCUAGGAGAAUGCUAAGAAUUUGAAGUGCAAGAAUCAGAACCCAUCCACUGUGGCGGGGUUCCUGAGGCACCUGCCAAAGUGUCACAAGGUGUCUACAGAGACUAGCAGUGUUCUUUCAAACAAAGAAGCUCAAGCUGAACAAUGGCAGUGCAUUAGCCUGCCAAGUAGCAGUCAGAGCAGGGUUGGGGGAAAGGCAGUGGGUGAGCCAGGAUGAAGUCAGGAAGUUAACUGAGACUAAUAAGAUGACGUAAGGCCCUAAAUUAGAAAAUAAAACCAGGUAAAGUACAAAGCUGGGUGGAAUAUUUUGGCUUGCUGGCAAACAAAGGAUGGAAGAGGAUUCCUUAAAGCAACGAGUCAGGACACAGGAGAAACAGCUUUGGUGAGAUGGGACUAUAGGAAUGAAAGCUCCUGUGAGGUUCACAAGAAGGCCAAAGGGCUCUUGCCUUGUGGGCGGGGUGGGACAAGGCUUUGGUCUGUCUAGGCCCAGAGAGUUCCUAAAGGAGCUUUGCUCAAAUAGUUUGCCAUCUUCACCCAAAUGAAAUUCUAAAAGACGCACUUCAGGCAAAAGGGGUAAUUCCAGAUGGAUGGUCUGAAAUGGGAUGAAGAGCAACAUGUGGAUUGUUCAUGUGUGAAGGGAAUGCCUGACGACUGAGGAUUAACUAGGCAUAAAGAAGAGAAUGGGAGUUUUCAUAUAUAAAAAAUGCUAUACAGGCAGACCAUGGAGAUAUUACAGAUUCAGUUCCAGAUCACAAUAAAGCGGAUAUUGCAAUAAAAGGCUACAUGACGAAUGAUACCGUAUUAGAUCGAAUGUAAAAGCAGGUUAUUUACAGAACUCAAGUCCAUCAAUAGAUUCCAGUAGAUGGGUGGGAGAAAGUUCAAAUGAAGUGAUCAGCUGGAAUAAUCACAUUAACUUUCUUUGAAUUCAGAGAAGUCAUUAAUACAGAGACAUAUCAACUGCAGGUUCCUUCCAUCAAACUGUUCUAUAUUUUUUUCUAUUAUGAAUGAUUUUACAUACUUCAUAGCAUGUACCAACUAUUUCACAAAAACAAUUUUGUUCCAAAAACCCCAGUGAAAAGGACUCAAUAACAAGAAU